rnacentral:rRNA from 1 species
UGUAAGCGUAUACCAAAGUUGUUGCAGUUAAAACGCUCGUAGUCGGAAUUUGGCAGUUCCGGAUGUGUACACGUCGUGUGCGCACUUCGCGGGGAUUGCUUUUGUGGUCUUGCGUAGGAUGAGGCACUUUUAUUAGUGAACGUCCUCACGCAACCACUUUUUACUGUGAGAAAAUCAGAGUGCUCAAAGCAGGCAUUUGCCGUGAAUGUAUUAGCAUGGAAUAAUAGAAUAGGACUUGGUUCUAUUUUGUUGGUUUGUUGGGACUGAGUAAUGAUUAAGAGGGACAGUUGGGGGCAUUUGUAUUUCGGUGCUAGAGGUGAAAUUCUUAGAUUACCGAAAGACAAACUGCUGCGAAAGCGUCUGCCAAGGAUGUUUUCAUUGA